rnacentral:lncRNA from 1 species
ACUUCCACGGGACCCACCAGCUUAAAUGCCGGCAGCCCUGGGACUUCUGGCCUCACAAUGGUUGAGAUGACUGGGGUGUGGCAGUGCCAAGCCGAGGCUGUGAAAGGCCUUCCACCUUUACUCUCGUGCUCGUGCCCUCCCCCAUUGUUAGGAGAAGGGCAUGCUCAGGCCAGCCCAUUAGCCCAGGAGGAGGACAAGAAACACACGGAGCAGACACAAGCCACCUCACCAACCCAGCCAAGGCUGUCCUGAAUUAGCAACCCUGACACGUGUGAGCAAGUCCAACGGACACCGGAAGAUCCACCUAGUCAAGCCCAACCAAGACUGGCAGAGCUGCCAAGCUGACCACUUAAGGCGCAUGAGGAAUAAACACUCGUUGCUGCAUGCCAUUGCAGUUUUGUGAUUUUUGUUAUGCAGCAUUAUUGUGGCCAUGACAGCAGAUACACAUAGAGAGACAACAGGACACCCAGGAGCCCACAUGGGAUACACUGUCUCUUACCUCCCCUGACCCUGUCAUCACGUCACUCUUCUCCCCUUAGCCUCAUCUGCUUCCCACCCAGAGGCAAAUGGUUCUACUCCCAGGCCUGCAUCCCUGGGUCAUUGCAUUUUUCUCUGGAUAACACUUUCGUGGAACAACAACUCAUUAGCAACAGCUCUUCUAGCUUCAAUUCAGCUGAAUGGCCUAAGAUCACAAUGAUAUGUAUGGCUGGAGGGAAUCCAUCAAAAUGGCCUGUAAAAGCAACUCCAUGACAUCUUGGGAAGCACUGGCCCCAGCAGUAUCAAAGGAAGAGGUGUUGAGGCAAGGGUGUCUGGGAAGUGGAGGACCCACUUUCUACCAUGUGGCCUUUCUCCGGACUGCACUCAUAUAAGAUUAUGUGUCUAGGAGUGGAUGAUGAUGAUGAUGAUGAUGAUAACCAUGAUUCCUCUGGGAGAAAGGAUCCUGGCCAUCAAAGCUUCCCAAAGACAGGAGAUUGGGGCACAAAGUGAACCUCUCUAGUUUAUUCAUCUUUUAGAAUUACAUUAUGUGCUUAAAACUGUGCCUUGCACAAACCCCAAAAGUCUUUGCUGAAUGAAUGCUGCACAAACAAAUGUAGAGUCGAGACUGGGACUAAUUAUAGGCUCUUGCAUAAGUUAGAUCAUAUUUCACCCCCUCCUUGGGGGCAGUGUUCAUCUCACCUUUCCCUUAGUAAGUCCAUCAUGGGGAUCUGCCAGUGAACCAGCUGUCUCUGGGGUCAUGUGCUUGCAUAGUAAAGGGACACAGCUCAUGGUACAGAAGGAAGAAGUCCUGUUUCUCUGGUUCUCACCCAGAUGCUCAGACCAUCCUGACAGCAUGUCCCCCCACCCCUGCACAGCCUUGGGAACACUGAUUGUAUUAGUGUCCAUUGGUAUGAACCUGACCUCCGCAAAAUCAGUAACAACUCCAUAAGUGAAUGAAUGAAUGAAUAAGUUCUAGCUUUGUCCCCUUUAUUCAAGUUUACUAUAGAUACUCCCCCCAACUCUUAAAACAAAAAUGACAGUGACCUACCUCGGU